rnacentral:rRNA from 1 species
GUGGGGAAUAUUGGACAAUGGGCGCAAGCCUGAUCCAGCCAUGCCGCGUGAGUGAUGAAGGCCCUAGGGUUGUAAAGCUCUUUCACCGGAGAAGAUAAUGACGGUAUCCGGAGAAGAAGCCCCGGCUAACUUCGUGCCAGCAGCCGCGGUAAUACGAAGGGGGCUAGCGUUGUUCGGAAUUACUGGGCGUAAAGCGCACGUAGGCGGACAUUUAAGUCAGGGGUGAAAUCCCGGGGCUCAACCCCGGAACUGCCUUUGAUACUGGGUGUCUGGAGUAUGGGAGAGGUAAGUGGAAUUCCGAGUGUAGAGGUGAAAUUCGUAGAUAUUCGGAGGAACACCAGUGGCGAAGGCGGCUUACUGGUCCAUUACUGACGCUGAGGUGCGAAAGCGUGGGGAGCAAACAGGAUUAGAAACCCGGGUAGUCC